UGUGAACGUUACCAAACUGUUGCCUCGGCGGGGUCACGCCCCGGGUGCGUCGCAGCCCCGGAACCAGGCGCCCGCCGGAGGAACCAACCAAACUCUUUCUGUAGUCCCCUCGCGGACGUAUUUCUUACAGCUCUGAGCAAAAAUUCAAAAUGAAUCAAAACUUUCAACAACGGAUCUCUUGGUUCUGGCAUCGAUGAAGAACGCAGCGAAAUGCGAUAAGUAAUGUGAAUUGCAGAAUUCAGUGAAUCAUCGAAUCUUUGAACGCACAUUGCGCCCGCCAGUAUUCUGGCGGGCAUGCCUGUCCGAGCGUCAUUUCAACCCUCGAACCCCUCCGGGGGAUCGGCGUUGGGGAUCGGGACCCCUCACACGGGUGCCGGCCCCUAAAUACAGUGGCGGUCUCGCCGCAGCCUCUCCUGCGCAGUAGUUUGCACAACUCGCACCGGGAGCGCGGCGCGUCCACGUCCGUAAAACACCCAACUUUCUGAAAUGUUGACCUCGGAUCAGGUAGGAAUACCCGCUGAACUUAAGCAUAUCAAUAAGCCGGAG
rnacentral:rRNA from 1 species